UAGAGUUUGAUCCUGGCUCAGAUUGAACGCUGGCGGCAGGCCUAACACAUGCAAGUCGAGCGGUAACAGAAAGUAGCUUGCUACUUUGCUGACGAGCGGCGGACGGGUGAGUAAUGCUUGGGAACAUGCCUUGAGGUGGGGGACAACAGUUGGAAGAGACUGCUAAUACCGCAUAAUGUCUACGGACCAAAGGGGGCUUCGGCUCUCGCCUUUAGAUUGGCCCAAGUGGGAUUAGCUAGUUGGUGAGGUAAUGGCUCACCAAGGCAACGAUCCCUAGCUGGUUUGAGAGGAUGAUCAGCCACACUGGGACUGAGACACGGCCCAGACUCCUACGGGAGGCAGCAGCGGGGAAUAUUGCACAAUGGGCGCAAGCCUGAUGCAGCCAUGCCGCGUGUGUGAAGAAGGCCUUCGGGUUGUAAAGCACUUUCAGUCAGGAGGAAAGGUUAGUAGUUAAUACCUGCUAGCUGUGACGUUACUGACAGAAGAAGC
rnacentral:rRNA from 1 species